rnacentral:lncRNA from 1 species
UGCGUCUGUGACAUGUCCAUUGCCCUUGACCUCAAUUUCAUGGUUCGGUGACAACAGAACUUGUAAAAUAUUAAUUUCUAUCUUUAUUAUGAGCAAUAGGAGAACUUUAUUUGGUAUGUGCGUACCUUGCAACCUUAUGCCCGUCGGACAUGUUUUAUUUGACCUCGUUUCAUGGAUCAGUGAAAAAGGUUAAUUUUUGGUUGGCAAGUCAAUUCUUAGAUACUAUAAGCUAAUAUGGCUACUAUGUGUAUAGAGGAUUGCAAGGUGCAAAUGUCCAACUGGCAAUCGUCAUCUGACCGUGACCUAUUUUCAUGGUUCAACGAUUAUAGUUCUUAGUUUUUGUGGGUUUUUUUUUCGAUUUCCUUAUACUGUAUAUUUUUUGUGUAUGGAAUAAUUUUAAGGUGUAAAUGUCCAGCUGGUAGUCACCAACCUCAACUUCAGUGUCAUGGUUGAAGUUCAGUGGUGAAAUAAAGUUUUUGUGUUUUGGUCCGUUUUUCUAAAUCUGUAUGCACUAGAUCAACUAUAUUUGUUGUAUGAAAAUUUAAAUUGUACAGGUUUUAUUUUACCUGGACCAAAUUUUUACGGUUCAUUACUCAAGUUCAGUUUUUUUUUGU